rnacentral:sRNA from 1 species
GGGUGUAAGGAUGAUCUAGCUGCAAUGUUUAUCCCACUGAUUGCCAGGGUUGAUUUGGUUGCUCUGGCUGGCUAGGCCAGUCCCCUUACCCUCUC